AGUAAAAGUCGUAACAAGGUUUCCGUAGGUGAACCUGCGGAAGGAUCAUUAACGUAUCUCUGGCGGGAGGCGUGUCGCCCUGCUCCGACCGAAAGGCCGUGCAGCGGGCGGGCGUCGACCGUCCAACCUUCACAAACCCCACGUGCACUUUCACGGCGGAGGGCCUCGCGGCCCAAAGCCGCUCACACAAACACCUAACAAAUGAAUGAACUGCGGCCUUUUGCGUCGCCUAACAAACGAAACAACUUUCAACAACGGAUCUCUUGGCUCUCGCAUCGAUGAAGAACGCAGCGAAAUGCGAUAAGUAAUGUGAAUUGCAGAAUUCAGUGAAUCAUCGAAUCUUUGAACGCACCUUGCGCUCCUUGGUAUUCCGAGGAGCAUGCCUGUCUGAGUGUCUUGAAGUCAUCAACCCCGAACGUUUUUCGGAGCGGUCGGCGGUUGGAUCUGGGGGAAUGCUGCCGAGAGGCUGCUCCCCUCAAAUGCGUCGGUUGGACCUGUGGGUCAAACUCGAUCGGGCGUUGUACCAUCCUCGCUCUCACCGGGAGACCUGCGUCACGCGUCCUUCCACGACCUGCCUGCCAGAGCGGCGGUCAAAACACACUCUUUGAAAUCUGACCUCAGAUCAAGUAGGACUACCCGCUGAACUUAAGCAUAUCAAUAAGCGG
rnacentral:rRNA from 1 species